UACGGAGGGUGCGAGCGUUGUCCGGAAUCACUGGGCGUAAAGGGCGCGUAGGUGGCUCGUUAAGUGGCUGGUGAAAUCCCGGGGCUCAACUCCGGGGCUGCCGGUCAGACUGGCGGGCUAGAGCACGGUAGGGGCAGAUGGAAUUCCCGGUGUAGCGGUGGAAUGCGUAGAUAUCGGGAAGAACACCAGUGGCGAAGGCGUUCUGCUGGGCCGUUGCUGACACUGAGGCGCGACAGCGUGGGGAGCAAACAGG
rnacentral:rRNA from 1 species